GAUGAAGAACGUAGCGAAAUGCGAUACGUAAUGUGAAUUGCAGAAUUCAGUGAAUCAUCGAAUCUUUGAACGCAUAUUGCGCUCUCUGGUAUUCCGGAGAGCAUGCUUGUUUGAGUAUCAGUAAACACCUCAACUUCCAUAUCUUUUUUGAAAUGGGAGUUGGACUUGAGUGAUCCCAACGCUUUUCCUCACCGAAAAGCGGCGGGUUACUUGAAAUGCAGGUGCAGCUGGACUUUUCUCUGAGCUAUAAGCAUAUCUAUUUAGUCUGCCUAAAAAACAGAUUAUUACCUUUGCUGCAGCUAACAUAAAGGAGAUUAGUUCUUGUGCUGACUGAUGCAGGAUUCACAAAGACAGGCUUCGGCCGACUUUGUAAACUCGAUCUCAAAUCAAGUAAGACUACCCGCUGAACUUAAGCAUAUCAAUAAGCGGAGGA
rnacentral:misc_RNA from 1 species